AGUCGAGGGGUAUAUGUCUUCGGAUAUAGAGACCGGCGCACGGGUGCGUAACGCGUAUGCAAUCUACCUUUCACAGAGGGAUAGCCCAGAGAAAUUUGGAUUAAUACCUCAUAGUAUUAUUGAGUGGCAUCACUUAAUAAUUAAAGUCACAACGGUGAAAGAUGAGCAUGCGUCCCAUUAGCUAGUUGGUAAGGUAACGGCUUACCAAGGCAACGAUGGGUAGGGGUCCUGAGAGGGAGAUCCCCCACACUGGUACUGAGACACGGACCAGACUCCUACGGGAGGCAGCAGUGAGGAAUAUUGGACAAUGGGCGCAAGCCUGAUCCAGCCAUGCCGCGUGCAGGAUGACGGUCCUAUGGAUUGUAAACUGCUUUUGUACGAGAAGAAACACUGCUUCGUGAAGCAGCUUGACGGUAUCGUAAGAAUAAGGAUCGGCUAACUCCGUGCCAGCAGCCGCGGUAAUACGGAGGAUCCAAGCGUUAUCCGGAAUCAUUGGGUUUAAAGGGUCCGUAGGCGGUUUAGUAAGUCAGUGGUGAAAGCCCAUCGCUCAACGGUGGAACGGCCAUUGAUACUGCUGAACUUGAAUUAUUAGGAAGUAACUAGAAUAUGUAGUGUAGCGGUGAAAUGCUUAGAGAUUACAUGGAAUACCAAUUGCGAAGGCAGGUUACUACUAAUUGAUUGACGCUGAUGG
rnacentral:rRNA from 1 species